rnacentral:rRNA from 1 species
UCACUUUCAACAACGGAUCUCUUGGCUCUCGCAUCGAUGAAGAACAUAGCGAAGUGCGAUAAGUAAUGUGAAUUGCAGUAUUCCGUGAAUCAUCGAAUCUUUGAACGCAUAUUGCACUUUCUGGUAUUCCGGAAAGUAUGCCUGUUUGAGGGUCAGUU